GACAGUGUGGUGUAGUGGUUUGAGUGUUGGACUAUGACUCUGGAGACCAGGGUUCGAUUCCCAGUUCGGUCA